CGUAACAAGGUUUCCGUAGGUGAACCUGCGGAAGGAUCAUUAACCUUUCAAAACAGGGUGCGUCGCGGCCCCCGAGGUGCGGAAACAAGCCUCGAGCGGUUUGGGGUCCUCCCCUUCACGCGCGCACGACUGCCAUCCUUACUUUACGAGCACCUUCUGUUCUCCCUCGGCGGGGCAACCUGCCGUUGGAACCGAAUAAACUCUUUUUGCAUCUAGCAUUACCUGUUCCGAAACAAACAAUCGUUACAACUUUCAACAAUGGAUCUCUUGGCUCUGGCAUCGAUGAAGAACGCAGCGAAAUGCGAUAAGUAGUGUGAAUUGCAGAAUUCAGUGAAUCAUCGAAUCUUUGAACGCACAUUGCGCCCCUCGGUAUUCCGUGGGGCAUGCCUGUUCGAGCGUCAUCUACACCCUCAAGCUCUGCUUGGUGUUGGGCGUCUGUCCCGCCUCCGCGCGUGGACUCGCCCCAAAUUCAUUGGCAGCGGUCCUUGCCUCCUCUCGCGCAGCACAUUGCGCUUCUUGAGGGGCUCCGGUUCGCGUCCAACAAGCACAUUUACCGUCUUUGACCUCGGAUCAGGUAGGGAUACCCGCUGAACCUAAGCAUAUC
rnacentral:misc_RNA from 1 species